ACGAAUUGUUCAUGAAGUGGCAAAUUGAAUACACCAAAAGCUUGCCACAAGUAUGAGGACUUCAGAGAACCACAAAAACACAAGAAUACUACAUUGAAUUAGGAGUUUCAUAUCCAAACAGUUUGAGUUUAUACCUUCAAAAUGGUGAGCUUCUGGCCACGAAUUCUUCAAGCUUCUUGCUCCUCUUUGAUCUCUGAAUGUAGGGAAGAUGAUUGGCUAAG
rnacentral:lncRNA from 1 species